rnacentral:rRNA from 1 species
GACGAACGCUGGCGGCGUGCUUAACACAUGCAAGUCGAACGAAGUGGCGAACGGGUGAGUAACGCGUAAUCAACCUGCCCUUCAGAGGGGGACAACAGUUGGAAACGACUGCUAAUACCGCAUACUGAAGGAGGGGAUUGCGUCUGAUUAGCUAGUUGGAGGGGUAACGGCCCACCAUGGCGAUGAUCAGUAGCCGGGCUGGUGUGCUGACGCGCCAAAUGGUGGCUGAGACACGUCCCAGACUGCGACUGGAUGCAGCAGUGGUGAUUCUUCCGCAAUGUACGAAAUGCUGAAGUGGCACGGCCGCGUGAGUGAGGAGUGCCUUCGGGUUGUAAAGCUCUGUUAAUCGGUACGCGGUACCGGAAUAGAAAGCAACGGCUAACUACGUGCCAGCCGCCGAGGUAAUAC